UGUGAUGGGGAGCGAAAUUUAGUAGCGAAGUAGCUGAUUUCACACUGUCAAGAAAAGUCUCUAUCGAGGUUAAAGGUACCCGUACCGCAAACCGACACAGGUGGGUGAGGAGAGUAUCCUAAGGCCAGCGAGAGAACUGUUGUUAAGGAACUCGGCAAAAUGACCCCGUAACUUAGGGAUAAGGGGUGCCACCAUCAGGUGGCCGCAGAGAAUAGGCCCAAGCGACUGUUUACCAAAAACAUAGGUUUCUGCUAAGUCGCAAGACGAUGUAUAGGAGCUGACGCCUGCCCGGUGCUGGAAGGUUAAGGGGAUCUGUUAGAGCAAUCGAAGCAGUGAACUUAAGCCCCAGUAAACGGCGGCCGUAACUAUACCGGUCCUAAGGUAGCGAAAUUCCUUGUCGGGUAAGUUCCGACCCGCACGAAAGGCGUAACGAUUUGGGCACUGUCUCAACAACAGACGCGGUGAAAUUGUAAUUCCGGUGAAGAUGCCGGAUACCUGCGACAGGACGGAAAGACCCCAUGGAGCUUUACUGUAGCUUGACAUUGGGUCUUGGUACUACAUGUACAGGAUAGGUGGGAGGCUUUGAAACCAGGACGCCAGUUUUGGCGGAGCCAUCCUUGGGAUACCACCCUUGUAGUACUGGGACUCUAACCAUAG
rnacentral:rRNA from 1 species